AUCCCCCGCCACGCCCCGCGCCGGCUCCCUGGCUGGGCGGGCCUGGCCUAGAAGCCGCCGGGACUACGCGUCCCAGCAGGCGGCGCGCGGCGCGUCACUUCCGGCGGCGCCCGCGGCGCGCGUGUGGGAGUGUGCGAGCGAGUGUUUACUUCCGGCCGCCGCCGCCGCCGCGGGCUGAGGGCCGAGCGUGUCGGGCGGCGGGCCCCGAGCAGCCAUGGACUGGCUCAUGGGACUUGCUUUCUUCAGCGUAUGAAAGCGACGGGCCGUUUGAUGGCAGAGAAAGGCAGCCCUUGGCCUUACGUUUUCAUCUGCUCCUCCCGUGGCAAGCCCGGUGCAGUGUGUUUAGGGGUGCAUGCCAGCUGCUCCUGACUGGUCCUGCUGAGUUUGCAGCCACAUCCCGGCCAGCCACCCCGUGACCACUGGGCCAGGCAGGGCAGCCGGGGUCCCACCCGCCCCCCGGCACAGGACCACCCACAGAGCCCCUGAGCAAGUCGGGAACGGUGGGUUUCCAGAAGCUCCUGGCUGCACACGAGAAGAGCAAGACUUGAGCUGCCGCCCAUGCAGUGGACAGAGGCAGAAAAGGUGUGAGUGUGGAGCACACGAGUUCUUACGGCUACUUCAGGUCCAGGUUCAGGACCUCACCUCCACCUGUGUGCCCACACCACGAGGCCCUUUCUCCGCCAUACCACACCCUUGUGCCUGUCCCAUGCCAACCACACCAACAAGAG